rnacentral:rRNA from 1 species
AGAGUUUGAUCCUUGGCUCAGAACGAACGCUGACUGGCNUGGAUCAGACAUGCNAGUCGAACGGGAUUUGUUUUGCUAGCANUUACAAGGCAGGUCUAGUUGGCGUAAGNCGGUGCGUNAAUCACCGUUGGNAUAUCUGCCGGGAAAUGGGGGAUAGCUCGCCGAAAGNCNAAUUAUUACCUGCUAAGUGGCUAUCGAAGGAUUCUUCGAGACGCCAAAGUCGGUUGUAGCAAUACAGCUGACGUUUCCCGAUGAGCCCGCGGCCUAUCAGCUAGUUCGGUGAGGUAACGGCUCACCAAGGCUAUGACGGGUAGCUGGUCUGAGAGGACGACCAGCCACACUGGAAACUGAGACACGG